CCCAGACGUGAGAGUGUGAGACGGCCACACCCCCUCCCCCUGUCCCCCAAACGCGUCCUUGAUCCUUCUCCUUCCCCAGACGGCCAAACCCAUGCGCGACAGCUUCCCUCUCCAAAUCCCAGAUCGAAGCCUUCCUCAGUUCCUCCAAAUCCCACCGCCGCACAGAGGAGAAUCCCCACCGCCGGUGCACGACCCAGCCUCCACCCAGCAGCGUUUCUGGAGCCACCUCUGACCACGCCACCUCCGACCUCGCCGCCUCCAGUCCACCCAGCAGCGUUUCUGGAGCCACCUCCGACCUCGCCACGUCUGACCUCGCCGCCUCCAGUCCACCCAACAGCGUGUCUGGAGCCCACCCACCCAGCCACCGAUUGUCCGAUUCAAGUGCAUAUGGAGCCUGAGCCAUCUAUUCAGGUUCAUAUUUGUUCACUAGUUUGAAAUUGAUACGAAGCAAAUCAUGAAUAGUGGUUCUUGCUAUAGGAGUCAGGGUCAGAAGUUUUGUUUUUACAAAGGGUCUACCAGCAUUGCAUAGUAGCAGAUAUAAAAUCCAUCAACAAAGCCACUCCAUUUCUGAGUUUGGCCAUAGUAUGAGGGAUAAUAUUGGUGAAAGUGAAGGUGGAACUGGUAGAGUGGUGGACAUGUAUUGCUCAUCUAAACAAAUCUGCAAAUAUAAGAUCACCAACAAAUUGAUUGAUUGAAUCAUUUUUUUCACUAAUCUAGUUUUUUUAUAAAUAUUAUGUUAUGAUUGUUCCUUGUUUUAUAGAAGUUGUAUCCACUCUUAUCUUUUUUUAUAUGUUUUAUAUGAUUCUUCCUUUUUUUUAA